CAGGGGCCGCCGGCGGGCGCAGCGCCGUGGCGCAUUGACCGGCCCGCCCCGCCCCUGGGCAGGGCCGCUCCCGCGACUCGGCCGGGCGGGAGCAGACGCCUGAAGCUCCAGGGGAGAGCUGGCGGCCGGGGCGGGGGAGGGUCUGUGGAUGGAGCCGCCGGGCUGACCCACUUCCCCAGUUUUCCCCUCGGCAGCGCUCACGGAGGUGGAAAGGCGGCCGCCUCGCUCCGCUGACUGACUCGGGAGACUCGCUGCAGCCGGGAGCAAGCCGCCCGCAGGGGCUCCCGCACCGGCCGGCGCCGCCCCGCCCUUCCUUUGGAAAAGGAAAAGGCUCCCGAAGCCUCGGAGGAGGAACUCCCCCUCCUGUUCUCACAUUAUCCCCAAGCCAGUGAAUCCGGCAGGCCCAGAACGCUGCCACAACACCAGCUAACCCCCAGCAGCAAAAUCAAGAAAUGUGGCAGCAAGGUACCCCAGGAUGUCCUAAAACUGAAAGAGAAGAAAACUAAUGUGUAAUAAGUACCUCUGAAUGUCUCAGGUACUGUGCCAUGGGCUCUGGGGGCAGACUGCCUCCAUUUAAAUCCCAUUUCUGAUAUUGCUACAGAUUGAACAUUUUCAUUCCCUCCAAAAUUCAUGUUGAAAGGUAAUCCCCAAUCCAACAGUGUUGGAGGUGUGGCCUUUGUGCAUCAUGGGGGCUCCACCCUCAUGAAUGAGAUUGGGUGCCCUUAUAAAAGGGGUUCAUGAAGGGAGUUCACCCCUCUUGUCCUGUCUUCUGCCAUGUAAGGAUGCAGUGGCAUUUUUCCCUUCCAAAGGAUACAACAUUCAAGGCACCAUCUUGGAAGCAGAUAGCAGCCCUCACCAGAUGCCAACCUUGAUCUUGGACUUCCCAGCCUCUAGAAAUAAGCUGCCUGGCCUCCUUAUGCAGCCCCCUUCAUCUUCAAGAAGAAACCUCAUUGAGUCCUUCUCAUGCUUCAAAUCUCUCUGACUUCCUCUUUUGCCAACAGCCAGAGAAAACAUUUACCUUUUAAAGGUCUUAUGUGAUUACAUUGGGCCCACCUGGAUAAUUUUUCUAUUCUAAAGCCAGCUGAUUAGUCACCUUAGUUGCAUCUUCAAAGUUGUUUUUGCCAUGUAAUAUCACAGAAGUAAUUCCAGGGUGAAGAUCAUGAGAGCUACAUAGACUCCUGCUUCCUGCAUGAUUAUCUUGAGGAAUAAGUAAAGGUGUGUAUUUAAAACAUUUAGAAAAGUGUUUUAUUUUGUGAUACCGAUAAUAAGAACUCAAUAAAGAUUCGCUAUUUCAUUUGUCUACACA